GACGAACGCUGGCGGCGUGCUUAACACAUGCAAGUCGAGCGAUGAAACACCUUCGGGUGUGAAUUAGCGGCGAACGGGUGAGGAACACGUGAGAAAUCUGCCUUCAACUCUGGGAUAACUCCGGGAAACCGGGGCUAAUACCGGAUAUGAGCCUUGAUCGCAUGAUCGGGGCUGGAAAGUUUUUCGGUUGAAGAUGAUCUCGCGGCCUAUCAGCUUGUUGGUGAGGUAAUGGCUCACCAAGGCGACGACGGGUAGCCGGCCUGAGAGGGCGACCGGCCACACUGGGACUGAGACACGGCCCAGACUCCUACGGGAGGCAGCAGUGGGGAAUAUUGGGCAAUGGAGGAAACUCUGACCCAGCGACGCCGCGUGAGGGAUGAAGGCCUUCGGGUUGUAACCUACUUUCAGUAGGGAAGAAGCG
rnacentral:rRNA from 1 species